rnacentral:rRNA from 1 species
UACAGAGGUGGCAAGCGUUGUUCGGAAUUACUGGGCGUAAAGGGCGCGUAGGCGGCCUUCUAAGUCAGACGUGAAAUCCCCCGGCUUAACCUGGGAACUGCGUCUGAUACUGGGAGGCUUGAGUAUGGGAGAGGGAUGUAGAAUUCCAGGUGUAGCGGUGAAAUGCGUAGAUAUCUGGAGGAAUACCGGUGGCGAAGGCGGCAUCCUGGACCAAUACUGACGCUGAGGAGCGAAAGCCAGGGGAGCAAACGGG